CCCUUAGAUGUUCUGGGCAGCACGCGCGCUACAAUGGUCUUCGCAAACGGAUGCAUUCUCGAAGGAGAAUGCCAAUCUUGGAAUCUAUGCCUUGGUCGGGACAGUUGCUUGCAAUUUUUCGACUCGAACCAGGAAUUCCUUGUAAUCGUGAUUCAUCACAUCACGAUGAAUACGUCCCUGCCGUUUGUACACACCGCCCGUCGUUUCUUCCGACUGAUACUCAUUGUGAAUUGCGGGGAUAACGUUGUUUAAAACCGUUGUAAAUGCUGGGUAUUGGAGGAAGAAAAAGUCGUAACA
rnacentral:rRNA from 1 species